GGGUUGUGAGGUUAAGCGACUAAGCGUACACGGUGGAUGCCCUGGCAGUCAGAGGCGAUGAAGGACGUGCUAAUCUGCGAUAAGCGUCGGUAAGGUGAUAUGAACCGUUAUAACCGGCGAUUUCCGAAUGGGGAAACCCAGUGUGUUUCGACACACUAUCAUUAACUGAAUCCAUAGGUUAAUGAGGCGAACCGGGGGAACUGAAACAUCUAAGUACCCCGAGGAAAAGAAAUCAACCGAGAUUCCCCCAGUAGCGGCGAGCGAACGGGGAGCAGCCCAGAGCCUGAAUCAGUAUGUGUGUUAGUGGAAGCGUCUGGAAAGGCGCGCGAUACAGGGUGACAGCCCCGUACACAAAAAUGCACAUAUUGUGAGCUCGAUGAGUAGGGCGGGACACGUGGUAUCCUGUCUGAAUAUGGGGGGACCAUCCUCCAAGGCUAAAUACUCCUGACUGACCGAUAGUGAACCAGUACCGUGAGGGAAAGGCGAAAAGAACCCCGGCGAGGGGAGUGAAAAAGAACCUGAAACCGUGUACGUACAAGCAGUGGGAGCACGCUUAGGCGUGUGACUGCGUACCUUUUGUAUAAUGGGUCAGCGACUUAUAUUCUGUAGCAAGGUUAACCGAAUAGGGGAGCCGAAGGGAAACCGAGUCUUAACUGGGCGUUAAGUUGCAGGGUAUAGACCCGAAACCCGGUGAUCUAGCCAUGGGCAGGUUGAAGGUUGGGUAACACUAACUGGAGGACCGAACCGACUAAUGUUGAAAAAUUAGCGGAUGACUUGUGGCUGGGGGUGAAAGGCCAAUCAAACCGGGAGAUAGCUGGUUCUCCCCGAAAGCUAUUUAGGUAGCGCCUCGUGAAUUCAUCUCCGGGGGUAGAGCACUGUUUCGGCAAGGGGGUCAUCCCGACUUACCAACCCGAUGCAAACUGCGAAUACCGGAGAAUGUUAUCACGGGAGACACACGGCGGGUGCUAACGUCCGUCGUGAAGAGGGAAACAACCCAGACCGCCAGCUAAGGUCCCAAAGUCAUGGUUAAGUGGGAAACGAUGUGGGAAGGCCCAGACAGCCAGGAUGUUGGCUUAGAAGCAGCCAUCAUUUAAAGAAAGCGUAAUAGCUCACUGGUCGAGUCGGCCUGCGCGGAAGAUGUAACGGGGCUAAACCAUGCACCGAAGCUGCGGCAGCGACGCUUAUGCGUUGUUGGGUAGGGGAGCGUUCUGUAAGCCUGCGAAGGUGUGCUGUGAGGCAUGCUGGAGGUAUCAGAAGUGCGAAUGCUGACAUAAGUAACGAUAAAGCGGGUGAAAAGCCCGCUCGCCGGAAGACCAAGGGUUCCUGUCCAACGUUAAUCGGGGCAGGGUGAGUCGACCCCUAAGGCGAGGCCGAAAGGCGUAGUCGAUGGGAAACAGGUUAAUAUUCCUGUACUUGGUGUUACUGCGAAGGGGGGACGGAGAAGGCUAUGUUGGCCGGGCGACGGUUGUCCCGGUUUAAGCGUGUAGGCUGGUUUUCCAGGCAAAUCCGGAAAAUCAAGGCUGAGGCGUGAUGACGAGGCACUACGGUGCUGAAGCAACAAAUGCCCUGCUUCCAGGAAAAGCCUCUAAGCAUCAGGUAACAUCAAAUCGUACCCCAAACCGACACAGGUGGUCAGGUAGAGAAUACCAAGGCGCUUGAGAGAACUCGGGUGAAGGAACUAGGCAAAAUGGUGCCGUAACUUCGGGAGAAGGCACGCUGAUAUGUAGGUGAAGUCCCUCGCGGAUGGAGCUGAAAUCAGUCGAAGAUACCAGCUGGCUGCAACUGUUUAUUAAAAACACAGCACUGUGCAAACACGAAAGUGGACGUAUACGGUGUGACGCCUGCCCGGUGCCGGAAGGUUAAUUGAUGGGGUUAGCCGCAAGGCGAAGCUCUUGAUCGAAGCCCCGGUAAACGGCGGCCGUAACUAUAACGGUCCUAAGGUAGCGAAAUUCCUUGUCGGGUAAGUUCCGACCUGCACGAAUGGCGUAAUGAUGGCCAGGCUGUCUCCACCCGAGACUCAGUGAAAUUGAACUCGCUGUGAAGAUGCAGUGUACCCGCGGCAAGACGGAAAGACCCCGUGAACCUUUACUAUAGCUUGACACUGAACAUUGAGCCUUGAUGUGUAGGAUAGGUGGGAGGCUUUGAAGUGUGGACGCCAGUCUGCAUGGAGCCGACCUUGAAAUACCACCCUUUAAUGUUUGAUGUUCUAACGUUGACCCGUAAUCCGGGUUGCGGACAGUGUCUGGUGGGUAGUUUGACUGGGGCGGUCUCCUCCUAAAGAGUAACGGAGGAGCACGAAGGUUGGCUAAUCCUGGUCGGACAUCAGGAGGUUAGUGCAAUGGCAUAAGCCAGCUUGACUGCGAGCGUGACGGCGCGAGCAGGUGCGAAAGCAGGUCAUAGUGAUCCGGUGGUUCUGAAUGGAAGGGCCAUCGCUCAACGGAUAAAAGGUACUCCGGGGAUAACAGGCUGAUACCGCCCAAGAGUUCAUAUCGACGGCGGUGUUUGGCACCUCGAUGUCGGCUCAUCACAUCCUGGGGCUGAAGUAGGUCCCAAGGGUAUGGCUGUUCGCCAUUUAAAGUGGUACGCGAGCUGGGUUUAGAACGUCGUGAGACAGUUCGGUCCCUAUCUGCCGUGGGCGCUGGAGAACUGAGGGGGGCUGCUCCUAGUACGAGAGGACCGGAGUGGACGCAUCACUGGUGUUCGGGUUGUCAUGCCAAUGGCACUGCCCGGUAGCUAAAUGCGGAAGAGAUAAGUGCUGAAAGCAUCUAAGCACGAAACUUGCCCCGAGAUGAGUUCUCCCUGAC
rnacentral:rRNA from 1 species